ensembl:snRNA U6 U6 spliceosomal RNA
UCUGUCUCAAAAAAAAAAAAAGAAAAUUAGAAAGGUACAGAGAAGAUUAGCAUGGUCCCUGAGCAAGGAUGACAGCAAAUUUGUGAAGCGUUCCAUAUUUUU